GCGGUGGUGGUGGAACGGUAGACACGCCAGCUUGAGGGGCUGGUGCCCGCAAGGGUGUGGGGGUUCAAAUCCCCCCCACCGCA
rnacentral:tRNA from 1 species